UACGAAGGUGGCAAGCGUUGUUCGGAUUUACUGGGCGUACAGGGAGCGUAGGCGGUUGGCUAAGCCCUCCGUGAAGUCUCCAGGCUUAACCUGGAAAGUGCAGAGGGGACUGUUCAGCUAGAGGAUGGGAGAGGAGCGCGGAAUUCCCGGUGUAGCGGUGAAAUGCGUAGAGAUCGGGAGGAAGGCCGGUGGCGAAGGCGGCGCUCUGGAACAUUUCUGACGCUGAGGCUCGAAAGCGUGGGGAGCAAACAGG
rnacentral:rRNA from 1 species